AUUGAACGCUGGCGGCAGGCCUAACACAUGCAAGUCGAGCGGCAGCGGGAAAGUAGCUUGCUACUUUUGCCGGCGAGCGGCGGACGGGUGAGUAAUGCCUGGGAAAUUGCCCAGUCGAGGGGGAUAACAGUUGGAAACGACUGCUAAUACCGCAUACGCCCUACGGGGGAAAGCAGGGGACCUUCGGGCCUUGCGCGAUUGGAUAUGCCCAGGUGGGAUUAGCUAGUUGGUGAGGUAAUGGCUCACCAAGGCGACGAUCCCUAGCUGGUCUGAGAGAAGGAUCAGCCACACUGGAACUGAGACACGGUCCAGACUCCUACGGGAGGCAGCAGUGGGGAAUAUUGCACAAUGGAGGAAACCCUGAUGCAGCCAUGCCGGGUGUGUGAAGAAGGCCUUCGGGUUGUAAAGCACUUUCAGCGAGGAGGAAAGGUUGAUGCCUAAUACGUAUCAACUGUGACGUUACUCGCAGAAGAAGCACCGGCUAACUCCGUGCCAGCAGCCGCCGUAA
rnacentral:rRNA from 1 species